rnacentral:rRNA from 1 species
UACGGGGGGAGCAAGCGUUGUUCGGAUUUACUGGGCGUAAAGGGCGCGUAGGCGGUCAGCACAAGUCAGUUGUGAAAUCUCCGGGCUUAACUCGGAAAGGUCAACUGAUACUGUGCGACUAGAGUGCAGAAGGGGCAACUGGAAUUCUCGGUGUAGCGGUGAAAUGCGUAGAUAUCGAGAGGAACACCUGCGGCGAAGGCGGGUUGCUGGGCUGACACUGACGCUGAAGCGCGAAAGCCAGGGGAGCGAACGGG